UACGUAGGGUGCGAGCGUUAAUCGGAAUUACUGGGCGUAAAGCGUGCGCAGGCGGUUGUGCAAGACAGAUGUGAAAUCCCCGGGCUUAACCUGGGAAUUGCAUUUGUGACUGCACGGCUAGAGUGUGUCAGAGGGGGGUAGAAUUCCACGUGUAGCAGUGAAAUGCGUAGAUAUGUGGAGGAAUACCGAUGGCGAAGGCAGCCCCCUGGGAUAACACUGACGCUCAUGCACGAAAGCGUGGGGAGCGAACAGG
rnacentral:rRNA from 1 species